CGGAAACGGAAGGAUACGGCUAAGAUAUGUUUCGAGACCGUAUCCGAAAUUUUCGAAAGAUGAAAACGCGUAUCCGACUCGGAAAAGCUUCUGUUACAAGAAAGGGAAAAUAAUUAGGUUAAAAAACCAGCCGCAUCGCACAACGGAGAAGAAGAAGAAGAACACGGAGAAGACGACUUACCUGGUCAACGGACGGCGGUGCAAGUGGUGGCUGGACCUGGAUCAUCUGGAUAUUUGAGUUACAGAUUUGAAGUAAUGCCUCCUCCAGAAUCCUGCAAACAGCAGUUAAAGAUCUGUAUAGAUGCUGAGCAUGCAAAAUGUAGCAUCUGCUUAAACAUCUGGCAUAAUGUUGUUACUGUUGCUCCUUGCCUUCAUAACUUCUGCAAUGGAUGUUUCUCAGAGUGGUUAAGGAGAUCACAGGAGAAACAAUCUACUGUGCUUUGUCCUCAGUGUAGGGCAGCUGUACAUUUUGUUGGUAGAAAUCACUUUCUGCAGAGCAUUGAGGAGGAUAUACUUCAAGCUGAUUCUUCAUUAAAACGUUCAGAUGAAGAAAUUACUCUUCUAGAUUCCUAUGCAUCAAUAAAAUCUAAUCUUGUCAUUCAAAGUGGUAAGAAGCGGGCACGUACAAAUGAUGUGGAAAGUGGAGAAGAACAUAUGGAGUUCCCAUGCCUUCAAUGUGGU
rnacentral:misc_RNA from 1 species